GAUGAACGCUGGCGGCGUGCCUAAUACAUGCAAGUCGAGCGAACGGACGAGAAGCUUGCUUCUCUGAUGUUAGCGGCGGACGGGUGAGUAACACGUGGAUAACCUACCUAUUAGACUGGGAUAACUUCGGGAAACCGGAGCUAAUACCGGAUAAUAUUUUGAACCGCAUGGUUCAAAAGUGAAAGACGGUCUUGCUGUCACUUAUAGAUGGAUCCGCGCUGCAUUAGCUAGUUGGUAAGGUAACGGCUUACCAAGGCAACGAUGCAUAGCCGACCUGAGAGGGUGAUCGGCCACACUGGAACUGAGACACGGUCCAGACUCCUACGGGAGGCAGCAGUAGGGAAUCUUCCGCAAUGGGCGAAAGCCUGACGGAGCAACGCCGCGUGAGUGAUGAAGGUCUUCGGAUCGUAAAACUCUGUUAUUAGGGAAGAACAUAUGUGUAAGUAACUGUGCACAUCUUGACGGUACCUAAUCAGAAAGCCACGGCUAACUACGUGCCAGCAGCCGCGGUAAUACGUAGGUGGCAAGCGUUAUCCGGAAUUAUUGGGCGUAAAGCGCGCGUAGGCGGUUUUUUAAGUCUGAUGUGAAAGCCCACGGCUCAACCGUGGAGGGUCAUUGGAAACUGGAAAACUUGAGUGCAGAAGAGGAAAGUGGAAUUCCAUGUGUAGCGGUGAAAUGCGCAGAGAUAUGGAGGAACACCAGUGGCGAAGGCGACUUUCUGGUCUGUAACUGACGCUGAUGUGCGAAAGCGUGGGGAUCAAACAGGAUUAGAUACCCUGGUAGUCCACGCCGUAAACGAUGAGUGCUAAGUGUUAGGGGGUUUCCGCCCCUUAGUGCUGCAGCUAACGCAUUAAGCACUCCGCCUGGGGAGUACGACCGCAAGGUUGAAACUCAAAGGAAUUGACGGGGACCCGCACAAGCGGUGGAGCAUGUGGUUUAAUUCGAAGCAACGCGAAGAACCUUACCAAAUCUUGACAUCCUUUGACAACUCUAGAGAUAGAGCUUUCCCCUUCGGGGGACAAAGUGACAGGUGGUGCAUGGUUGUCGUCAGCUCGUGUCGUGAGAUGUUGGGUUAAGUCCCGCAACGAGCGCAACCCUUAAGCUUAGUUGCCAUCAUUAAGUUGGGCACUCUAAGUUGACUGCCGGUGACAAACCGGAGGAAGGUGGGGAUGACGUCAAAUCAUCAUGCCCCUUAUGAUUUGGGCUACACACGUGCUACAAUGGACAAUACAAAGGGCAGCGAAACCGCGAGGUCAAGCAAAUCCCAUAAAGUUGUUCUCAGUUCGGAUUGUAGUCUGCAACUCGACUACAUGAAGCUGGAAUCGCUAGUAAUCGUAGAUCAGCAUGCUACGGUGAAUACGUUCCCGGGUCU
rnacentral:rRNA from 1 species